GAUGAACGCUGGCGGCGUGCCUAAUACAUGCAAGUCGAACGCACAGCGAAAGGUGCUUGCACCUUUCAAGUGAGUGGCGAACGGGUGAGUAACACGUGGACAACCUGCCUCAAGGCUGGGGAUAGCAUUUGGAAACAGAUGCUAAUACCGAAUAAAACUCAGUGUCGCAUGACACAAAGUUAAAAGGCGCUUUGGCGUCACCUAGAGAUGGAUCCGCGGUGCAUUAGUUAGUUGGUGGGGUAAAGGCCUACCAAGACAAUGAUGCAUAGCCGAGUGGAGUGACUGAUCGGCCACAUUGGGACUGAGACACGGCCCAAACUCCUACGGGAGGCUGCAGUAGGGAAUCUUCCACAAUGGGCGAAAGCCUGAUGGAGCAACGCCGCGUGUGUGAUGAAGGCUUUCGGGUCGUAAAGCACUGUUGUAUGGGAAGAACAGCUAGAAUAGGGAAUGAUUCUAGUUUGACGGUACCAUACCAGAAAGGGACGGCUAAAUACGUGCCAGCCGCCGCCGUAA
rnacentral:rRNA from 1 species